AGAGAGAGACAUGCGCGCAUAUCAAUAAGCGGAGGAAAAGAAACUAACAAGGAUUCCCUUAGUAACGGCGAGUGAAGCGGGAAGAGCUCAAAUUUGAAAUCUUCAAGGUUUUACCUUGACGAAUUGUAGUUUAAAGAAGUGUUUUCUGUUGAAGUUUUGGUAAAAGUUCUUUGGAAUAGGACAUCAUAGAGGGUGAGAAUCCCGUAUUUGACCAUUAUUUCAGCUUUGUGAUACACUUUCAAAGAGUCGGAUUGUUUGGGAAUGCAGUCCAAAAUGGGUGGUAAAUUUCAUCUAAAGCUAAAUAUUGGCGAGAGACCGAUAGCGAACAAGUACCGUGAGGGAAAGAUGAAAAGAACUUUGAAAAGAGAGUUAAACAGUACGUGAAAUUGUCAAAAGGGAAGCGUUUGACACCAGUGUUGUUUUCUCGAAAAUCAAUUAAAAAUGGCUCGAUUUUGUAUUGUUGAGACCUUAAAAACUCACUGUACAUUUUUCGUGUCUUUUUUAAUGCACUUUUCGUUUAACAAGUCAACAUCAGUUUCUUUUGUUGUAAAAGGGUCAUUGGAAGGUGGCUUUCUUUUCGGAGAAAGUGUUUAUAGCCUUUGGCCUCUGCAAUCGGAGAGACUGAGGUCUGCAGCGUAGACUCUUCGGGGUUAGAUACAUUUGUGCUAAGUUAUAGCUUUUUAUAGACAACUUGUUGACUAUAAUUAGUCUUGUAGCUUACUCGCUUAUGCUAUUUUACCUACGCUUAGGAUGUUGAAGAUGUAGCACAUCAU
rnacentral:rRNA from 1 species